AGAGUUUGAUCCUGGCUCAGGAUGAACGCUAGCGGCAGGCCUAACACAUGCAAGUCGAGGGAGAGGUUACCUUCGGGUAACUGAAACCGGCGCACGGGUGCGUAACGCGUAUACAAUCUGCCUUUCACAUAGGGAUAGCCCGAAGAAAUUUGGAUUAAUACCUAAUGGUAUAUAAGAGCGGCAUCGUUUUUAUAUUAAAGCUACGGUGGUGAAAGAUGAGUAUGCGUUCUAUUAGCUAGUUGGAGAGGUAACGGCUCCCCAAGGCGACGAUAGAUAGGGGUUCUGAGAGGGAUGUCCCCCACACUGGUACUGAGAUACGGACCAGACUCCUACGGGAGGCAGCAGUGAGGAAUAUUGGACAAUGGUCGGAAGACUGAUCCAGCCAUGCCGCGUGCAGGAUGAAGGUCCUAUGGAUUGUAAACUGCUUUUGUAAGGGAAGAAUAAGGGGUACGUGUACUUUGAUGACGGUACCUUACGAAUAAGCAUCGGCUAACUCCGUG
rnacentral:rRNA from 1 species